AUCUAUAUACACUAUACAAAAAUAUACAAAAAUAAUUCUGUGUAUAUAUCUUUCAUCCCCUUGAGGAGCUUAACUCUUAUACCAUGGUUUUAUUUUGGACCACAUUUUCAAUAGUCGUAGUAGCUCUUCUCUCUCUCCUUCAUGAGCUAUGGAGAAACAACAAAAGAAAAAAACUUCCACCAAGUCCCAAAGAGAUCCCAAUUUUGGGACAUCUUCAUCAUUUGUUAGGCAAAAACCCUCAUCAAGAUUUGAACAAUUUAGCCAAAAAAUAUGGUCCAAUUAUGUACUUAAAAUUAGGAUUUGUUGACAACAUAAUUGCUUCUUCUCCUCAUGUAGCUGAGCAAUUUCUCAAGACAUAUGAUCAAAAUUUUGCAAGUAGACCACCUCAUGAAGCUUCAAAAUACAUUUCAUAUGACCAAAAUAACUUGACUUUUGGUACAUAUGGUCCUUAUUGGCGAAAUAUGCGAAAAUUAUGCACAUUAGAGCUACUUAGCACUCUAAAAAUCAAUUCAUUUCAAUCCAUGAGGAGGGAAGAGUUGAAUCUUUUGAUUGAAACUCUCAAGAAAAAAUCUCAUGAAAAAAUUGUAGUUGAUUUGAGUGAGAUUGUAACACGUUUAUCGGUCGAUAUAAGUUGUAGGAUGAUUUUUGGGAAAAAAUAUAAAGAGGAGGAAUUUGGUGGCAAGGGAUUUAAGAGUGUUGUUAAUGAAGGGUUACAAUUAGCAGCAGCUCCUAAUCUUGGAGAUUUUUUCCCCUUUCUAGGUAAAUUGGAUCUUCAAGGAUUAACAAGAAGAAUGAAGGCAGUUAGUUAGCAAGGUGUUUGAUAAUUUUUUAGAGAAAAUUAUUGAUGAACAUGAAGAGAUUGAUAAAAAAGGACAACAUCAAAACAACAAGGAUUUUGUUGAUACUAUGUUGAACAUCAUGAAAUCUGGAGAAACUGAGUUUCAGUUUGAUCGUGGUCAUGUUAAAGCUAUUUUAUUGGAUAUGCUAAUAGCUUCAAUGGAUACUUCAGCAUCAGCAAUUGAUUGGAUACUCUCAGAACUCCUAAGGCAACCAAACAUAGUGAAAAAACUUCAAAAAGAAUCUGAAGAAAAAAUUGGAAUGAAAAGAAUGGUGGAGGAGUUAGAUUUAGAAAAAAUGGAAUACUUAAAUAUGGUCAUAAAAGAAUCAUUAAGGCUUCAUCCUGUGGCACCAUUACUAAUCCCUCAUCAAUCUAUUGAAGAUUGCACUAUUGAUGGAUAUUUUAUUCCAAAAAAAUCAAGAAUAUUAGUGAACACCUAUGCUAUAGGGCAUGAUCCAAAGGUGUGGCCUAAUAAUCCAGAUGAGUUUAUUCCAGAAAGGUUUAUGGGGAGUAGUAUAGAUCUUCGUGGACAUGAUUUUGAGCUUCUCCCAUUUGGAUCCGGUAGAAGAAGUUGUCCUGGUUUACAACUAGGACUCAUCAUGAUACGUUUGAUCGUGGCACAAUUGGUUCAUUGCUUUGAUUGGGAACUUCCACAUGGUAUGUUACCAAAUGAUUUGGACAUGGGUGAGGAAUUUGGUCUUGUUACUAGUAGAGCCAAACAUCUAAUGGCUAUUCCUACUUAUAGGUUGUCAUGUAAUUGAAUACUCGAUUCUUUAUCAUCAGAAUAAGUUCUUCCUUGUAAGAAAGGACAAA